rnacentral:rRNA from 1 species
CCACCUCUUCCCAUUCCGAACAGAGAAGUUAAGCCUCGUCACGCCGAUGGUACUGCGUAACAGUGGGAGUGUAGGUAGCCGCCGUUU